GCGGGGCGCGAUGGCGCACGCCUGUAAUCCCAGCAGCUUGGGAGGCUGAGGCAGGAGGAUUGUGAGUUCAAAGCUAGCCUCAGCAACUUAGUGAGGCCCUAAGCAUCUCAGCGAAACCCUGUCUCUG
rnacentral:sRNA from 1 species